CACAAACGUACACACACACUCACAUAAACGUAUACACACACACACACACACAUACACACUCACACACACACACACACACACACACACACACACACACACACACACACACACACACACACACACACACACACACACACACACACACACACACACACACACACACACACACACAUCCAUACAGGGUUCAGUCUUUAACGUGUGUGUGUUAAACCUGUCUCCUGACCUGCAUUUCAGUUUCAGUGACACACUUCUGUCCACUCUGUUUAAAGCUUGUGUCUAACACACCUACUGCUCAUUUCUCAUCUCCAUGAUUUACCGCUCUACAGUUUCUCAUGAUUCCUCACAGUGGAAAUCAAAAGCGGUUGGAAUGAUCAUCUCAACCAUCGGGAGGUUAAAGUGUCGAUGUUACGGGACACGACGGGAGAGCGCAGUAGUCCGGGAUUAAUCGGUGACUAGAUAAGUCGGGGUUAAACCCUGAGGUGUGCAGUCAGCUGGAGCAGUUUAACAUCAUGAUAACGAUCACGACGUGCUGGAGAUGAGACGUGGUAGAAAAACAGAACUCUGUGUCCUUCACACUAGCUGUGGUCAUGGUGAUAGUGUAGUGUGUGUUAGUAUUGGUGUGUGUGUAUGUGUAUGUGUGUGUGUGUGUGUGUGUGUGUGUGUGUGUGUGUGUGUCUAAAGAUACACACUAAAGGUUACAUUCUAACUGUAAUAUCAUAUUGUGUUGUGUUUAUUAUAAAGUCACUAAUCAGAUAUUGUGUCAGUGUGUGUCAGUGUGUGUAGUCAUGGCCUGGUUUAAAUUUGUACCCAUUCUCUGUGCGAUUUCAGCCACUCGUUCUCCCCACACGCCGUUAACAGACACCAGCACGCUCUCUCCCGGUUCUACCACGUUAAACACGGCGCACUCCAUGGCCGUGUGACCCGAGCCGCUCAUCGCCAGCGUCAUGAGGUUGGUGGUCUGAAAUGCGUAGCGGAUCCCAUCCUUGAUGUCGUUCAUAAUCUUUAACGACAAAAAAAAAUGAGUGUGGGUUAAAAACAACACUCACGAAUCAACAAACUAACAAAGGAUAAACGUGAGUUCUCACCUCGUACAUUUCCGGGUGCAUGUGACCGAUGAUGGGUCUCCCUCCGGCCGACAGCACGCGGGGCGACACGUUGGACGGUCCGGGUCCGAACAGGUAGCGGAACGGCACCUCGAGCGGACGCAGCAUGCAGGCGGGAGGAGGCACGU